GGUCCCCCUCUUUCCCCCAUCUCCCAGCCCAGCCGGGCAGAGGGAUCCUGUACACAACUUUUUCAAACUGCCAGGCAGAAGAAUCCCAGCCUUUCCAAGGGAGUGUCGGUAAAUCAUCAGUACAUCCGACAACGCAGCCAGCGGGAUUAACCCUUUGCGGGAUCCCGGGAAAAUAACAACAACAACAACAAAACCACCACCAACAACGCGCUUAACAACGAAAACAGCAAAAUUUGGCCCCAGCUGUGGGAGAAGGGGGACGGGCAGCCUGUGCGCCGGGAUCCUUUCACACACGGGCGGAGAGGGAGCAGCGUUUUGUGUGUGCCGAGCACAUGAAGAGGAGCUGCCGCCGCGCACCUCCGCCGUGCCCAUCCCUCGGGGCUUCCCCACCUCAAGAAGCACGACCCAGAUGUGCCUCCCACCCCCCAAGGAUCUCUCCUCUGGACUUAGAGAGAAGAGGAAAAGGCAGAUUUUGAGAAAUGAAAAUUAUUUAAGGAUGUCCUUAC